UGGCUUUAGGCCUAAAGGCUGCAGGGAUGUUGCAUCUCUUCACUGCCAGUGAGAAAACCUGCAAUGGGAAACAAGCUCCCAUUUGUGAGUCAGAGGACUAACAAAGGCUCUGUCACAAAGCAAUGAGGUCACCCGGACAUGGUGACACCUUCCUGAUGAAAAUCAUGUGAUACCAGUAAUGGAACACUCUUGCAGGCCCCAUGGCCUCCUCUGGCAACUGGAACAGCUACGCAGCAUUCCCAGGAAGGGGUCCUGGUGUUCUGGGGCUCACAGUUGCUCUCUUGUGAGCACCCAGUCUUUAUAGAGUAAAAGCAGCACAGACGGAGGUUUGCGAAGACAAAGGCUUAGAAACUGCCUGUCUGCUAUAAAAGAAGAUGGCAGGGAAUGAAAUUUUCAAAUGCACUGAGCACCCACAACUAGUUGAAGAUUCUUUAAACUAGGUCAUUUGUAGCUUGCUUAUGAUCACCCAGAAGCUAGGAAGAAACUCCAAAUUUCCAAAGUCAUAUUUCAAAUAUAUAACCAUGGGCUCAUUUUACCUCUUUUGCUGCAGUACCACAUCAACUCUAUCAUAGUCUGCUACCUGGAUAAUAACACCUCCAGGAACCAUAACUGCAGCUCUGCUCUUUAAAGAACUCACCACACCACCCCUUGUUUGUAAAUGUUCUUAAAAUAUGGGCAAUUUUAAAGGGGGACAAGAGAGUCCAUGCAGAACCAUCAAAGCUGCGUUAGCAGAGGGCCAUUUCAUUAGCAAGAAAAAGGCAGACAUUUCCUGCAGGAAUAUCUGCCCUAAUAAAAAAUGUCAAGGAGUGGGGGAGAUAGAGAUGAAGAAAUACAAAUGGAAGGUUACAACCCUAUGCAUGCAUAUUGUACACUGUUAACUAUGAAAAAUGGCUUGCAACACAA